AUGAGGAAACUACAAGGGCGUAUGGUGGAUGCCUAGGCUUAUGAAAGGCGAUGAAGGACGCGGCGUGGCGGCGAUACGCUUCGGGGAGGUGCCAAGCAACCUUUGAUCCGGAGAUGUCCGAAUGGGGAAACCCGUCAGAAAGAAAUUUCUGUCACCCUGUAGCAAUACAGGGAGUAAACCGUGGGAAGUGAAACAUCUCAGUACCACGAGGAAAAGAGACCAAUAGGAAUUUCGUCAGUAGCGGCGAGCGAACGCGAAUCUAGCCCAAACCGUAGAAUUUUCCCGAUGACUCCUCGCAAGAGAAGUCGUCCGGUAAAUUCGCGGGGUUGUAAGACAUUGUUCGUCCUGUCCCGAGCGCAAGCGAGGGAUAAGGACAGUAAGUUACAAAUUGCAAAGGUAGCCGAAGCUGCUGGGAAGCAGCGCCCUAGAGGGUGAAGGCCCCGUAGGCGAAACCGAUGCAACUUACACAAUGCUCUUGAGUAGCUCAAGACAUGAAUAGCUUGAGUGAAUCUGCCGGUACUAACCGGUAAGGCUAUAUACUUUCAAAGACCGAUAGCGCAGAGUACCGUGAGGGAAAGGUGAAAAGCACCCCGGUGAGGGGAGUGAAAUAGUUCUGAAACCAUAUGUCUACAAGGAGUGGGAGUGGUAACGCCGCAAGGCGGGACCACGACCGCGUGCCUAUUGAAGAAUGAGCCUGCGAGUUUAUGUGUGCCGCGUUAUGGCUAAGGUCGAGAGACCGGAGCCGGAGGGAAACCGAGUGUGAAUAGCGCGUUUGUGGUACGCAUAAGACCCGAAGCCAGGUGAGCUACCCAUGAGCAGGGUGAAGUCCCGUGAAAACGGGAUGGAGGCCCGAACCGUUGAGCCGUUCAAAACUCUCGGAUGACUUGUGGGUUGGAGUGAAAAGCUAAUCGAACCUGGUAAUAGCUGGU
rnacentral:rRNA from 1 species